UAUUUUAUUUUAGGUUAGCCCUGCCCGGUGAACUAUUUUAACGGCCGCAGUACUCUGACUGUGCUAAGGUAGCAUAAUAAUUUGUCUUUUAAUUGAAGACUGGAAUAAACGGGUAAAUGACUAGAAGCUGUCUAUAUCUAAUUUUAUUUAAUUUACUAAGGAGGUGAAAAUACCUCCUAUAUAUUUUAUUAGACGAGAAGACCCUUAGAGUUUUUAUUAACUAUUACUUAUCAUUUUUGUUGGGGCGACAAGGAAGCAGUGAACCUUCCUAUUUUACUAUACUAUAUAACAAAUAUAUUUUUUGUAAAUAAACUACCUAAGGGAUAACAGCAUAAUUUAUUAUUAAGAUUAUGACCUCGAUGUUGGACUAAGGACUUAUAAGCUAACCGCUCAAUAAGAUUGUUCUGUUCGAAC
rnacentral:rRNA from 1 species